GUGCUUGCUUUGGCAGCACAUAAUACUAAAAAUUUGGACAGUACAGAGAAGAUAGCAUGGCCCCUGUACAAGGAUGACAUGCAGAUUUGUAAAGCAUUCCACAUUCAA
ensembl:snRNA U6 U6 spliceosomal RNA